UCCGUAGGCGGGCGAUUAAGUCAGAGGUGAAAUCCCACAGCUUAACUGUGGAACUGCCUUUGAUACUGGUCGUCUUGAGUUAUAGUGAAGUAGAUAGAAUAUGUAGUGUAGCGGUGAAAUGCUUAGAUAUUACAUAGAAUACCGAUUGCGAAGGCAGUCUACUAACUAUAUACUGACGCUAAUGGACGAAAGCGUGGGGAGCGAACAGGAUUAGAUACCCUGGUAGUCC
rnacentral:rRNA from 1 species